rnacentral:misc_RNA from 1 species
AAAGAACGCUGCCCGCUCUCUUCUGCCCUCUCUUUGCCUCGUUUCCUCCUUUCGCCCCCCUUCCCCUCUCUCCAACGCCUCUCUCCCUGCCGACUCUUGCUCUCCCGCGUGUGCGCGUGUGCGGCUUCCAUACUCCUGCACCCGCUGCGGCGCUCCCUCCUCACGCCGUGUGUCUGCCGCGUCUCCGCUCUCGAACCCUCUCUGUUUCUCUCUUUGCUUGCGCUGCGUUUCUGCUGAUUCGCUCGACGCUAUUCCGUGUGCGACUCGGUGUGUCUGCGGUGACUCCGGGCACAGUGCCGCGCUCGCACAUACUCGUUGCGGUCGUGGCAGCCCCUCCUAUUUCGGCUCUUGUGCGCACACAGCCUCUCGCCACGCAACGCGACCAUACUCAUUCAGCCCCAGCUCGGCUCUGCCCCUCCAACUGACAAGGUUGGUGACGGGUACAGCUCUCCUCCGGCUCCAGUUGCUCAGUCUCCCCCCAGCAUGCCGCAAGGCCAGUACAGUCAGAAGCCUAAUGGCGGCCCUACACAGCCUGUGAAGACAAGGCCCGGACAGAGCGUUUACACCGGCAACACGAUGAAUGCACCAGGCAGCCGUGCUGCCGUCCAAAACCGCAAGGAGGAUUGGCGCUUUCCGCUGUGUGUGUGCUGUGACGAUAUGGACUCGUGCUGCGAGGCGUGUUGCUGCUUUACCUGCCAGGUGAGCCGGCAGUGCAAUAUGCUCGUGAACAACCGCAGAGAGAUCCACUGGCCUUACUGCUUGCUCAUGACCCUAUGUGACGUGAGCUUGUUUUUCUUUAGCGUGACGUGCGUCUUUGCCAGCGAGACACGUCGGCUAGCGCGCGAGCGGUACGGCAUUUCCGGCAGUGGCUGCGACGAUUGCUGCAUCGGGUACUGGUGCCGCACCUGCUCUGCGCAGCAGGUGCUGCUGGAGAUGACCGCGAUGAACGAAUUCCCAGGGGCCACGUGCUACGAGGCUGCCCCUCAGCCCGCGGCCAACCGGAUGGUCUAGCCGUGUGUAUGGGCAGCUCCCAAGGGCGAGGAGAGGAGGGGUGGGGGCGCUGCGGAAGGUAGUGAGCCGCCUUGAGGAGGGAGUCGGCUCGCUGCCGUGUGGGCGUUGCUUGACUGCUCCUUCAAUGAGGAAGACGCAGAGCUAGAAGGAGGAGGGGCUGCGGUCAGUGGCGGUGGGAGAGCAAAGCAGGAGGAGGCUCGGCAACGCGCGUCUUUGACCGACGACGCAGUGCUGUCCCCUCCUUUUGUUCGGGCUCUCAUCCUCUCUCUUGGACCCCCUUCUGUUGUUGAUGGGGAUGCUAUAAUGUGGUGCCCGCAAUUUUUCUGUUCUCUGCUUCUCUGCGCCUCAUUCACAGUUCUAAUCUUGUUUACCUUGCCCUCUCCCUCGUGCUGCCUCCCGCUUCCCUUCCGUCUUAUUCCCGCGCCGCCGCCCUCUCUCCCUGACGCCGUUGCCGCGCUGGAGGAGCUUCUCUUGCGUUUGCUCUCAUCACCUCAUUGUUUUUUUCUUUUCUUGAUUGACCGCUCCCUCCUGUGGCCCCCUUUCCCUCCCUGACACGCGCACUCACCGUCUGCGCCAUCGCGUUUAUCUCCUCUUGAUUUUCGGGCGCAUGUGUGCGCUCUUUUCUCUUCCACACUAAUUCAGCCAGCGUUGUCUUUUUGUCUUCUGUUUUCUCUCUCGCCGUGCUGCUGCUUUACGUUGUACGAAUGGGGCACCACCAUUCCUUGCUUUCUUUUUCUUUCCUUGGUUGCUUUACGCCCCUGACGAUGCCGGCCACCUCAGUGCGUGGCAUCAGGGGCCCGUGCCCCCACACCCUUUGCGGGGAAGCCGAAAGCCCGCAGCCUGGCCUCGGGCACGGCGGCGGACUCCCGGUGUCGGCGGGCAGGCGUGCGCUGGCGGUGUGCCGGAGAGGCUUGCGGUCGCGACGACGUUUGUCUCGGAUCGCUGCGAAUCGCGUCGACGAUUCAGCAAAAAUAUGCGUCCGCCUACCGCCUCUCUGCGUUAGCUUCGUUGCGGUAAUGCCGAGCGUCAUCCUGGUCCCGGCCUGCGCUGUAUGCAGUGGCGUUGCAGUGGGCUGAGCGUCGCCAAGCGGCGUUGUUCGGCCCGGCUCCUUGGAGAAUCGUCGAUACAGGCCUGUAGGGCAUUUGGUGUGCCUGGUUUUCUGCCUUCCGGUGUAGCAGGGGAAGCGAAGCACGGUGGUGGCGUCUCUGUGCUCGCACAGGAGGGCACGCGCAUAGGUGUAGGCGCUCUAGCUCUGGAGAGCAAGGUCGCAGCAGUGGCGGUGUGGGUUUGCUGCGACGACCCUACCAGAAGGAUGUACCUCGCGCCCGGCCACACAUCUAAGAGUGACGUGGUUGCACGGGAGGUUCUCGACCGGCCACCCAGCGACGUCGCACCCGGUCCUCGCGUCAUUGGAGUGGACGCCGCUCCGCACCACCCGAUGCGAGGCACGAAAGGGCUACCCGACCGGGCUGGGGCCAUUCUGCAUGAGUGGCUUCAUGACAAAUACUUGGCAUGCGCAAGCGACGAAGACACGUCGACAUGGCACAGCGCAGACGGGGCCACGGGAACGCCACCGCACGCCACCCCGGCGCUCGACUGCCUCGUCUGUAAAGGGGGCGCCGUCACCACGGCGCGAUCCAGUUCGCUGCCCGGCCUGGGGAGGGGUACGGCCCGGCGCCGCCAGUGAUGACUGACGCCCCAUUACACCCCUUCCGCUUUGCGGACGGGGAAACUGUGCGGCGCCCUGAUUGCGAAAUCGAGCCGCAAGGAUCGUGCCCCGCUGGCCCACGACCACCAAGGCAGCACGAACGCGCACCGGGGAGGGAAGACAAAUCGCCCAUGCAGCCAGGCCGGCCACAGCCCCCCCCCCCUCCCUCCAUGCACAGCGACACGGUGCCCCCUCGCGGAUGAGGCAAAUUUGCUGACGAAUAAGCAGCAGCCACCAGGAAAGCUGUCGCAUGUGGUAAAGCUGCUUAUCGACCGUCCCGGUCGUCCCGACGGACGCGACUGGGGGCAGUUGUUGGGAAGGCCCCCCUGCGCGUCGCCCGGGCAUGGCCCUGUCGGACGCGUUCAUCGAGGAGCAGCAAAGAGCCAGUCUUGAAGGACGGAUACGGCCCUGCAACGCCCUUCCCCAUAGUGGCCCUCGAUCAAGGCCAUGCAUCCAGGCUACCUAUGCCCUCCGCACACUGCGCGCACCAGCAGUGUGCCAAGGCGACGCGACACCCGGCAGCCUCCUUCGCGCCCCACCGCGUUCUACGGAGGCCCUGCGCCACGCCCUUCAAACCGCUCACGAUGGGCGGGCUCGAGGUGGCACCCCGUGAAGCCUACUGCGGCCCUGCCCCGGGCGUCGACGAAAUCCACUGUGGGAGUGUCGAGGCCGCCCCGAUGCAGGUCAGGAGCGCGCUGCUCAGCAUCUAAAACCAGAGGGUCGCCGCCGGCCGCGCCCCUACUGCAUGGAAAGAGGAGCCUGCUGUGGGCCCCUCCUGUGGCUGCACAAGCCCGGUGACGACCCCGCGUCACACGGCCCCUGUGACACUAGCCAGCGAUCUGUGCAAGUUACUCAAACGAAUGGUCUCGCGACUUUCUAGAGGACGGGCUUGAGCUACAGCGCUCCGGCCUCCGGCCGCACCGCUCCACCGCAGCCCCCCUCCCCAUGGGCUCGCUCCUUCACAAAGCAGUGCAGCCCUGACAGGGCACCAAGGCAGGCGCAGUGCUUGCGGGCUCUGCGCUCGCGCGCUUGGCUCGGUCGAUCACGGCGCCCUCACGACGGCGCGCUGAGGAGGUUCGACGUAGACCCACGCCUUACUCGCUGGGUCAUGGAAUUCUCAGACGAUUGUCGCGCCUGUGUUGGCUUCCGCACGCGGCGAUCGAGGAUGGCCGAGUUUGCCUGCGGAGCCCCACAAGCAUCAGCCGUAGGCCCUCUUCAUGAUUGUGGUGGGCUCGCUGAGUGUGGAGCUCAACAAAACACCCGGACUGCACCACGCCCCCUUUGCUGAUGGCCUCGCACUCCUCACGCGCUCCUCGGACAAGGUUGCCGCACGGGCCACAGUGCAAUCCGCCCUCUGGAGGGUGGGACACUGGACGCUGGAGCGCUUUGUGGAGAUGAGUGCUCGCCCUUCGCGAAAAGAAAAAUACGCAGUACACACUCUCUGGUGCGCGACACUGCAGCCAGCGGCAACGGCCCAUCGCCCGCUCGCACUUGGAAGUGGAUCGCUGCUCCUGCCUCCUCGCCCUGCACCUCCAGCCAAUGCCGCGCACUGGUCGGCACGUUUCAGAAGUCAUCGAGGCGGCCACGGCUGGACUUGCCAGGCUGAGGGUGGUCUGCUGGCGCAAAUGUGGUCGGUCAGCGGCUCUUCUCUGCUCUUGCUGCACAGCCCUCCUUGAACCAGAGCUACUGUACGGUGCCACCGUCUGGUGGGACCGUGCUAGCAGAAGCUGCAGCAGGUCCCUUGAAGACCUUCACGUGGAGGCAGCCGCGGCCAUAGUGGGUACCGCAAUGUGCUCAGAGAGCAGAGACCUACCCGAGGAGGCCGAUCCACUGCCCCUCGACUCCACAGUGCUGCUGCGCCGCACCCGCCUGUGUCUCUCCUCGACCGCGCGAGGCGGCUUCCUUGUGCAUUUGGCGCGGCAGGCGCACACGCCGGAUGCCGGCGCUGCCACAGCGCUUCGGCAGCUCUCGUGCGGGCAUGCAGGCAUUGGCCCCUGCGGGCUCCGCAUGCACACACCUCCCUCGUGCGCUGCGGCCGCGCGCGCCUCUCAUGGCAGUCUGUCUUUGGCCAGCGUGGGUUGGCGCGCACCGGCAAGGAUGACAAACUUGCAAGAUCGGCAACGCCAGAGGAGCCGACGCCAACAGCAUGGAUCACGGACCUGGUCACCGGUCUCAGACGCCGGGCCACCAUCCCCCGCAACCGCGGUAGACGAUGCGACGCGCGACGGCAAGCGAUACCUGGCGGCGGCCGCCCCACACCAGAGGAACAAGGGUGCUGGAGCUCACGAGACGACAGGCCACCAUCCUCGCCCAGCUCCGCGCCGGCGCCUGACCCGUACCUUUGGGCUCCUGCAGCGGUGGGUGACUGGCAGAGUCGAGAUGGUGUGCAGAUGGCGUGCCGCCCAUACCCAGGCCGGUGUGGUGCCGAUGGCGCAGGACGUACUCGGAGAAGGGACGAGGAAGGGCAAGAGGAGCCGGUUAUAGACACAUGGCCCGAUUCGACGGCCGACGGCUUCUCGCAGACGACCAGGCUUCAGCCGUCGUGCCACAGCGGUUGGGCGGGCUGUGCUUGCAUGCGCGUACUUGAUGACGGGGGUGUGAUGAAAUAGCACACUGAACAGCAAAAAACAAGGGCUCAAGAUGGCUGUAUGUGGACCUGCGUGAGACGCUUAUCGCCCUCACGCACCUACACGGACGACCAGAUGAGUGGGCGCGAUGGAGGGGCUGCGCGCGCGGUGUGCCGCGCAGGGGUUUGCGAUGGAUUUGCCUUGUUAUCGGCGCUUGCUUUGUGCGGCACCCUAGGCGUGCUGCACAGGAGCGUCAGUGGCCGCAGAGGACUGCACAAGCUCCUCAUCGCCUGGAUCUCAGGCGGACCUGCACUGAGCUGCACGCAAAUGUGCGAAGUCUAGGAAGC